rnacentral:rRNA from 1 species
CCGUGCAAAGGUAGCGUAAUCAUUUGUUUUUUAAUUGAGGACUUGAAUGAAUGAAGUUAUGAGGAAGAUUCUGUCUCUUUAUAUUUUUUGUAAGUUUCUUUUAGGGUGAAGAAGCCUUUUUUGAGGCAUUAGACGAUAAGACCCUAUUGAGUUUUACUUUAUGUUUAAGUUUUUUUUUAUUUUUAUAUUUUAGAUUUAAAAUAGAGUUUGGUUGGGGCGACCUAGGAGAAAACUUUAACCUCUUUUUUUGUAUUAAUCCAUUUUUUGUGAAUUAAAAAUAAAUUACCAUAGGGAUAACAGCGUAAUUUUUUUUGAGAGUUCUUAUUAAUAAAAAAGUUUGCGACCUCGAUGUUGGACUUAGGA